rnacentral:lncRNA from 1 species
ACAAGAAAAGGGGGCAAUUGCUUAUAUACCUUUGAAAAAUUUUCGACUUUUUGAUUUAUUCCUCUUAGAAGGCUAAUAUUAAAAAUAUUUUUUUUACGUUCCAGAUUAUUUCAAAUAUAUCCAUAGAGUUAAAUUCUGUUGGUGAACUGUCAGCAAUAGCCGUUAUCUAUGUGAAAUUACUAUUUUUUCCUUUCACAUAUACCCUUCCACUAUUACCAACUUUUCUUAUUUGCUCUUAAGUUAGGAGCAAAAAAGUAUUUUGAUUUCUGGUCUUUUCAAAUAUACCUUUCUUUUAUCACCAACUUUUUUUAUUUGUCCUCAAGUCAAGGACAAAAAAGGUGUUUUAAUUUUUUUUAAACUCUAGUAGACAUUUUAACUCACGUUUAACCUGAGAUAAUUUAAGGGUGAUAACUGUAGGGAUACUUUUGAAUAACGGAGGAACAUAUAAUGAGUAUAUAGGAAAUAAAAAAAGUUAAGAAAUAAUUAAAUAUUUUUAAAGUUUUGAGGAGUAUAUAGACAAUUAUUUUUUUUAAAAAAAUUAUUAUAUUUAGGACUUGUUUGGCCAAGCUGCUAGCGUAAGUGCGUCGACCCGCAGAAGCAUCAGUUUGGACCCCAGCUUUGUAGCACAUUUUCUUGCUUUCGUCCGGAGCUUGUGAUGAGCGAGAGAGAGGAGCCAAGCAACAUUAAUUACGUGCUACAUUUGGCUUCAAAAAUAUCUUUAGCUUAGCAGGUUUUACUAUAGUAAAAAGGUGAAAUAACUUCUUAUUAAGUUUGUCACCGCAACAGGCAUUUAAAAAAUUCUUAAUAAAAUAGGUGUAAGUGUUCC